UACAGAGGUCUCGAGCGUUAGGCGGAAUCACUGGGCUUAAAGCGUGUGUAGGUGGAUCGUUAAGUACCUUGUGAAAUCCCACGGCUUAACCGUGGAACUGCUUGGUAUACUGGCGGUCUUGAGUCAGCUAGGGGCUACCGGAACAAAUGGUGGAGCGGUGAAAUGCGUAGAUAUCAUUUGGAACGCCAAUGGUGAAAACAGGUAGUUGGGGCUGUACUGACACUGAGACACGAAAGCCAGGGGAGCAAACGGGG
rnacentral:rRNA from 1 species